UAGUGAUAAACUGUCUAUGAUUGGUCC
rnacentral:piRNA from 1 species